rnacentral:misc_RNA from 1 species
CCAAUAGCGUAUAUUAAAGUUGUUGUGGUUAAAAAGCUCGUAGUUGAACCUUGGGCCUGGCUGGCCGGUCCGCCUCACCGCGUGUACUGGUCCGGCCGGGCCUUUCCCUCUGGGGAACCUCAUGCCCUUCACUGGGUGUGACGGGGAAGCAGGACUUUUACUGUGAAAAAAUUAGAGUGCUCCAAGCAGGCCUAUGCUCGAAUACAUUAGCAUGGAAUAAUAAAAUAGGACGUGCGGUUCUAUUUUGUUGGUUUCUAGGACCGCCGUAAUGAUUAAUAGGGACCGUCGGGGUCAUCAGUAUUCAAUUGUCAGAGGUGAAAUUCUUGGAUUUAUUGAAGACUAACUACUGCGAAAGCAUUUGCCAAGGAUGUUUUCAUUAAUCAAGAACGAAAGUUAGGGGAUCGAAGACGAUCAGAUACCGUCGUAGUCUUAACCAUAAACUAUGCCGACUAGGGAUCGGAUGAUGUUAAUUUUUUAAUGACUCAUUCGGCGCCUUACG